GCGGGACCCGGCCCCGACACUGCCGGGGCUGCUGGCACAGAGGAAAGAUUUGCAUUCCCACCACUUGCUCCGAGCACAAGUAAAUAGCCGGAGCCCAGGCUGGGGAGGGUGUCCGCCUCCGACGCCCUGCCUCCUGCCACCUGAUCUCGCAGCCAUGCAGCCCUUCCCUCCCUUCCCAGGCAGCAGCCGGGAGAGCCGGCAAGCCCCAGCUGGAAAGGGAACAGCGUGGCCGAGACAGAGUUCAUCCCUUACAGAGGAGCUGCUCAAGGCAGUGGGCAGCUGGAGCUGCCUGCCUCCUGCCAGCCUCCCACGAGGGGCAGGGAGCCUAUCCCGGGGUGAAAAGCUUUACCUUUCCUUGGCUACACCUGCAGUACCACUGGAUGUCACUGUUGUUUCAUAAAAGAGAAAAAUCUUACUGUGAUCUUUUUGACAGAUAAUGUUUAGUACCUAAAUAUAUACAUGUCUUUAUAU